GCAAGUCGAGCGAACAGAUAAGGAGCUUGCUCCUUUGACGUUAGCGGCGGACGGGUGAGUAACACGUGGGUAACCUACCUAUAAGACUGGGAUAACUUCGGGAAACCGGAGCUAAUACCGGAUAACAUUUGGAACCGCAUGGUUCUAAAGUGAAAGAUGGUUUUGCUAUCACUUAUAGAUGGACCCGCGCCGUAUUAGCUAGUUGGUAAGGUAACGGCUUACCAAGGCGACGAAUCGUAGCCAACCUGAGAGGGUGAUCGGCCACACUGGAACUGAGACACGGUCCAGACUCCUACGGGAGGCAGCAGUAGGGAAUCUUCCGCAAUGGGCGAAAGCCUGACGGAGCAACGCCCCGUGAGUGAUGAAGGGUUUCGGCUCGUAAAACUCUGUUAUUAGGGAAGAACAAACGUGUAAGUAACUGUGCACGUCUUGACGGUACCUAAUCAGAAAGCCACGGCUAACUACGUGCCAGCAGCCGCGGUAAUACGUAGGUGGCAAGCGUUAUCCGGAAUUAUUGGGCGUAAAGCGCGCGUAGGCGGUUUCUUAAGUCUGAUGUGAAAGCCCACGGCUCAACCGUGGAGGGUCAUUGGAAACUGGGAAACUUGAGUGCAGAAGAGGAAAGUGGAAUUCCAUGUGUAGCGGUGAAAUGCGCAGAGAUAUGGAGGAACACCAGUGGCGAAGGCGACUUUCUGGUCUGUAACUGACGCUGAUGUGCGAAAGCGUGGGGAUCAAACAGGAUUAGAUACCCUGGUAGUCCACGCCGUAAACGAUGAGUGCUAAGUGUUAGGGGGUUUCCGCCCCUUAGUGCUGCAGCUAACGCAUUAAGCACUCCGCCUGGGGAGUACGACCGCAAGGUUGAAACUCAAAGGAAUUGACGGGGACCCGCACAAGCGGUGGAGCAUGUGGUUUAAUUCGAAGCAACGCGAAGAACCUUACCAAAUCUUGACAUCCUUUGAAAACUCUAGAGAUAGAGCCUUCCCCUUCGGGGGACAAAGUGACAGGUGGUGCAUGGUUGUCGUCAGCUCGUGUCGUGAGAUGUUGGGUUAAGUCCCGCAACGAGCGCAACCCUUAAGCUUAGUUGCCAUCAUUAAGUUGGGCACUCUAGGUUGACUGCCGGUGACAAACCGGAGGAAGGUGGGGAUGACGUCAAAUCAUCAUGCCCCUUAUGAUUUGGGCUACACACGUGCUACAAUGGACAAUACAAAGGGCAGCUAAACCGCGAGGUCAUGCAAAUCCCAUAAAGUUGUUCUCAGUUCGGAUUGUAGUCUGCAACUCGACUACAUGAAGCUGGAAUCGCUAGUAAUCGUAGAUCAGCAUGCUACGGUGAAUACGUUCCCGGGUCUUGUACACACCGCCCGUCACACCACGAGAGUUUGUAACACCCGAAGCCGGUGGAGUAACCAUUUAUGGAGCUAGCCGUCGAAGGUGGGACAAAUG
rnacentral:rRNA from 1 species